rnacentral:rRNA from 1 species
UGGGGAAUUCGGACAAUGGGCGAAGCCUGAUCCAGCAAUGCCGCGUGUGUGAAGAAGGCCUUCGGGUUGUAAAGCACUUUUGUCCGGAAAGAAAUCCUUGGCUCUAAUACAGUCGGGGGAUGACGGUACCGGAAGAAUAAGCACCGGCUAACUACGUGCCAGCAGCCGCGGUAAUACGUAGGGUGCAAGCGUUAAUCGGAAUUACUGGGCGUAAAGCGUGCGCAGGCGGUUUGCUAAGACCGAUGUGAAAUCCCCGGGCUCAACCUGGGAACUGCAUUGGUGACUGGCAGGCUAGAGUAUGGCAGAGGGGGGUAGAAUUCCACGUGUAGCAGUGAAAUGCGUAGAGAUGUGGAGGAAUACCGAUGGCGAAGGCAGCCCCCUGGGCCAAUACUGACGCUCAUGCACGAAAAGCGUGGGGGAGCAAAACAGGAUUAGAUACCCCUGGUAGUCCACGCCCUAAACGAUGUCAACUAGUUGUUGGGGAUUCAUUUCCUUAGUAACGUAGCUAACGCGUGAAGUUGACCGCCUGGGGAGUACGGUCGCAAGAUU